ensembl:lncRNA
ACACACACACACACACACACACUGACAUACACAUACUCACACUAUACGCACACACACAAAUGGGAUUUUUAGAGUGUAUGCAAGUUCAAAUCCCAGAACUGCCAAGCACGUCAGUAAUUAAGUCAGUGAGUAAGUCAGUAAAUUAGUAAAUCAGUAAUUAAGUCAGUGAGUAAGUCAGUAAAUUAGUAAGUCGGUAAUUAAGUCAGUAAGAAGGUCAGUGAGUAAGUCGGUAAAUUAGUAAGUCAGUAAUUAAGUCAGUGAGUAAGUCAGUAAAUUAGUAAGUCAGUAAUUAAGUCAGUAAGAAGGUCAGUGAGUAAGUCGGUAAAUUAGUAAGUCAGUAAUUAGGUCAGUAAUUAAGUCAGUAGUUAAGUCAGUAGGUAAGUCAGUGAGUAAGUCAGUAAAUUAGUAAGUCAGUAAUUAGGUCAGUAAUUAAGUCAGUAGUUAAGUCAGUAGGUAAGUCAGUGAGUAAGUCAGUAAAUUAGUAAGUCAGUAAUAAAGUCAGUAAGUCAGUAAUCAAGUCAGUGAGUAAGUCAGUAAAUUAGUAAGUCGGUAAUUAAGUCAGUAAGAAGGUCAGUGAGUAAGUCGGUAAAUUAGUAAGUCGGUAAUUAGGUCAGUAAUUAAGUCAGUAAUUAAGUCAGUAGUUAAGUCAGUAAUUAAGUCAGUAGUUAAGUCAGUAAUUAAGUCAGUAGGUAAGUCAGUGAGUAAGUCAGUAAAUUAGUAAGUCAGUAAUAAAGUCAGUAAGUGAGUCAGUAAAUUAGUAAGUCAGUAAUUAAGUCAGUAAUCAAGUCAGUAAGUAAGUCAGUAAUCAAGUCAGUGAGUAAGUCAGUAAUUUAGUUAGUCAGUAAUUAAGUCAGUAAGUCAGUGAGUAAGUCAGUAAUUAAGUCAGUAAUUAAGUCAGUAAGUUAGUAAGUCAGUAUUUAAUUCCGUAAGUGAGUCAGUAAGUUAUUAAAGAGUAAGGCAGCACAUGAGUCAUUAAUUCAUUAAGUGAGUAAGUUGCUAAGUUAGUGAGUUAUUAAGUCUGUAAAUUAUUAAGUCAGUAAUUAAUUCAGUGAGUCAUUACAUUAUUAAAUAAGUGAGACGGUUAGUAAGUUGGUAAGUCAGGAAGUAAGUGAGUAAUUAAGUCAGUAAGUGAGUCAGUUAGCUAUUAAGUCAGUGAUUAUGUCGGUAAGUCAGUAAUUUAGUAAAUCAGUAAAUUA